rnacentral:lncRNA from 1 species
GCCCCCUCCCUGGAGGUGUUCAAGGCCAGGCUGGAUGGGUCUGUGAGCAGCCCGGUCUAGUGGGGGGUGUCCCUGCCUAUAGCAGGGGGUUGGAACUUUGGUGAUCUUAAGGGCCCUUCCAACCCAAACCGUUCUAUGACUCUACAACUAAGAAAAAUGCCUUUACUCUAAAGAUGAUCAGCACUGGACCAAGAUUCCUAAAGAGCUGGUUGAUGCCUCGUGCCUGUCAGUGGUCAAGAGGCAUUUGGAUGAUGUCCUUAGUAAUAUGCUUCGUCUUUUGGUUGGCCCUGAAUUGGCCAGACACUUGCACCUGAAACAGCACGCAGAGAGUUUGACUGACAGAUGUCAUUUAUUGAAGAAGUGGGUGCUGGGGAUGCCUAAUUUUGUGUGCUGGGCAUGCUGGUUGCUCACAUGCUGGGGUUUCUGAGGGUGCACAUGCGGUGGGUGCUGAGCGUUGCGGGUGCUGAGCUCUUGGUGCUGAGCAUGCUGAGUCCUGGGGAUGUUUGGGUUUUGAGAACUAGGCCAUGAGGUGCUAGGUACCGGGGGUGCGCAGGUGCUGGGUCUGAGGAGUGCUGGAGGUGCCGAGUUCUGUGUAUUGUGUGCACUGAGUGCAAGGUGUGCUGGUAGCUGGGUGCAAGAGGUUCCUGGUUCUGAGUGCUGAUGUGGGCUAGGUGCUGAGGGUGUCCUGGUUCUGGGAGCUGGGCGUGCUGGUGUCAGUAGGGCAAUGGUGACUACCGUCUGGGCUUGGGUGUACCCAAGCGGUGAGGAAGGCUCACAUCAUCUUCCAGGCAGGAGCUGAGGAGGGUGAGAGCCACCAGGACACCAGGCAGUGGUGUCGACUUCAGGGAAAGUGUCCAGGAAGUGCUGGAGGAAGGCCUUUCCCUUCUCCUCUGGUGGCGGGUGGUGCGUGGAGGAUGGUGCACUGGGUUGGAAGGCACCCAUGUCAUACUGUGGGCAGAAAGUUUGCAGUCAGCAGAGGGGGUGGGUAGGGCCAUCCAUUUGGCAUGGGGACAGGUUGGAUGAGGACCCUGUCCUGAAGUGAGGUGGGGGCAUCCCUCCAACAUGGAGCUGAGAUGGCUCUCCGGCAUGCAAUGGGGAUGUCCCUGUGGAGACGAGGGGGCAAGCUCAAUCUCUUCACCUACAGCCAGGCAUGACCACCUCAAGGCAAACAUCAGCUGCCCUCUUGCGAGGAUCCCGCUGGUGGCUUGUCCCCUCUGUCCUUGGUUGGGUGGCUCUGGCCCCCAGCAGCCUGGGAUGUCUGAGGGGCUGGACCCGCUCUGGGACUUCAGUGCCAACCAGGAGUGCCCUCCCUGUUCCCACGUGUCCCCCACACUGCCCUUCUCCCUCAC